UGAGGAAUAUUGGUCAAUGGGGGCAACCCUGAACCAGCCAAGUCGCGUGAAGGAUGAAGGUCUUAUGGAUUGUAAACUUCUUUUAUACAGGAAUAAAUUGGGGGACGUGUCCCCUUUUGCAUGUACUGUAUGAAUAAGGAUCGGCUAACUCCGUGCCAGCAGCCGCGGUAAUACGGAGGAUCCGAGCGUUAUCCGGAUUUAUUGGGUUUAAAGGGUGCGCAGGCGUGAUGUUAAGUCGGCGGUGAAAUUUUGCAGCUCAACUGUAAAAGGGCCUUCGAUACUGGCGUCCAUGGGUGUAGAUGAAGUAGGCGGAAUUUGUGGUGUAGCGGUGAAAUGCUUAGAUAUCACGAGAAACUCCGAUUGCGCAGGCAGCUUACUAAACUACAACUGACGCUCAUGCACGAAGGCGUGGGGAUCAAACA
rnacentral:rRNA from 1 species